rnacentral:rRNA from 1 species
CGGACGGGUGAGGAACACAUCGGAAUCUACCCUGUCGUGGGGGGACAACGUAGGGAAACUUACGCUAAUACCGCAUACGACCUUUGGGUGAAAGCGGGGGACUCGCAAGGGCCCCGCGCGAUUGGAUGAGCCGAUGUCCGAUUAGCUAGUUGGCGGGGUAAUGGCCCACCAAGGCGACGAUCGGUAGCUGGUCUGAGAGGACGACCAGCCACACUGGAACUGAGACACGGUCCAG